rnacentral:rRNA from 1 species
UACGGAGGGGGCAAGCGUUGUUCGGAAUCAUUGGGCGUAAAGGGCGCGUAGGCGGCCGAUCAAGUCGGGUGUGAAAUCCCUCGGCUCAACCGAGGAACUGCACUCGAUACUGAUUGGCUCGAGUCCGGGAGGGGAUGGUGGAAUUCCCAGUGUAGCGGUGAAAUGCGUAGAUAUUGAGAAGAACACCGGUGGCGAAGGCGGCCAUCUGGACCGGAACUGACGCUGAGGCGCGAAAGCCAGGGGAGCGAAUGGG